rnacentral:rRNA from 1 species
AUGCAGUCGAGCGGGAACCUCAGGAGGGGUAACCCUUCUGAGGGGAGAGCGGCGAACGGGUGAGUAACACGUGGGCAACCUGCCCCGGACACCGGGAUAACCCAGGGAAACCUGAGCUAAUACCGGAUACUCCGGCGCGAUCGCAUGGUCGCGCCGGGAAAGCUCCGACGGUCCGGGAUGGGCCCGCGGCCUAUCAGCUUGUUGGUGGGGUAACGGCCCACCAAGGCGACGACGGGUAGCUGGUCUGAGAGGACGGCCAGCCACACUGGGACUGAGACACGGCCCAGACUCCUACGGGAGGCAGCAGUGGGGGAUCUUGCGCUAAUGCGCGAAAGCGUGACGCAGCGACGCCGCGUGGGGGAUGAAGGCCUUCGGGUUGUAAACCCCUUUCGGCAGGGACGAAGGGAAACUGACGGUACCUGCAGAAGAAGUCCCGGCUAACUACGUGCCAGCAGCCGCGGUAACACGUAGGGGACGAGCGUUGUCCGGAUUCAUUGGGCGUAAAGCGCGCGUAGGCGGCUCGGAAAGUCGGGCGUGAAAUGCCGGGGCUCAACCCCGGGACUGCGUCCGAUACUUCCGAGCUGGAGGUAGGUAGGGGAGAUCGGAAUUCCUGGUGUAGCGGUGAAAUGCGCAGAUUUCAGGAGGAACACCGGUGGCGAAGGCGGAUCUCUGGGCCUUACCUGACGCUGAGGCGCGAAAGCUAGGGGAGCGAACAGGAUUAGAUACCCUGGUAGUCCUAGCCGUAAACGUUGGGUGCUAGGUGUGGGUGGACAUCGACCCCAUCCGUGCCGAAGCUAACGCAUUAA